AACGAACGCUGGCGGCAUGCCUAACACAUGCAAGUCGAACGAAGGCUUCGGCCUUAGUGGCGCACGGGUGCGUAACGCGUGGGAACCUGCCCCUCGGUUCGGAAUAACAGUUAGAAAUGACUGCUAAUACCGGAUGAUGACUUCGGUCCAAAGAUUUAUCGCCGAGGGAUGGGCCCGCGUAGGAUUAGCUAGUUGGUGGGGUAAAGGCCUACCAAGGCGACGAUCCUUAGCUGGUCUGAGAGGAUGAUCAGCCACACUGGGACUGAGACACGGCCCAGACUCCUACGGGAGGCAGCAGUGGGGAAUAUUGGACAAUGGGCGAAAGCCUGAUCCAGCAAUGCCGCGUGAGUGAUGAAGGCCUUAGGUUGUAAGACUCUUUACCUAGGGAGUGAUAAUGACAGUACCUGGAGAAUAAGACUCCGGCUAACUCCGUG
rnacentral:rRNA from 1 species